rnacentral:rRNA from 1 species
AACGAACGCUGGCGGCAUGCCUAACACAUGCAAGUCGAACGAGACCUUCGGGUCUAGUGGCGCACGGGUGCGUAACGCGUGGGAACCUGCCCUUAGGUUCGGAAUAACUCCCCGAAAGGGGUGCUAAUACCGGAUCAUGUCUUCGGACCAAAGAUUUAUCGCCUUUGGAUGGGCCCGCGUUGGAUUAGCUAGUUGGUAGGGUAAAAGCCUACUAAGGCGACGAUCCAUAGCUGGUCUGAGAGGAUGAUCAGCCACACUGGGACUGAGACACGGCCCAGACUCCUACGGGAGGCAGCAGUGGGGAAUAUUGGACAAUGGGCGAAAGCCUGAUCCAGCAAUGCCGCGUGAGUGAUGAAGGCCGUAGGGUUGUAAAGCUCUUUUACCCGGGAUGAUAAUGACAGUACCGGGAGAAUAAGCUCCGGCUAACUCCGUG